AGGGUUCGAUUCUGGCUCAGGAUGAACGCUAGCGGCAGGCUUAACACAUGCAAGUCGAGGGGCAGCGCGGGAUAGCAAUAUCCUGGCGGCGACCGGCGGAAGGGUGCGUAACGCGUGAGCGACAUGCCCGUUGCCCGGGGACAACCGGUGGAAACGCCGACUAAUCCCCGAUGGGAUACGAUGCUUCAUGGCAUUGUAUUGAAAGUUACGGCGGCGACGGAUUGGCUCGCGUCCGAUUAGCUUGUUGGCGGGGUAACGGCCCACCAAGGCUGCGAUCGGUAGGGGUUCUGAGAGGAAGGCCCCCCACAAUGGGACUGAGACACGGCCCAU
rnacentral:rRNA from 1 species